rnacentral:tRNA from 1 species
GGGCUCAUAGCUCAGUUGGUAGAGCAUCUGACUUUUAAUCAGAGGGCCACAGGUUCGACCCCUGUUGAGCCCACCA